AUGGGGAACAAGAUGCCGCAGGUCCUGUCCUACUACCACACAGAGAGGGUGCUGGUGAGGGCGCGGAUGGAGGACGGCGGGUGCCUCGCGGAGUUCGACGACGCGCGGCGGUGGUGCGAGAAGAGGGAGCUGAAGGGCGCCGGCUCCGACAUGCGGAGGUGCAUGGACAGGACGGCGAGGCUGCGCAAGUGCAUGCAGUGCAACGAGGCGCACUUCAGGACCUGCAUUCGCGAUAUGGAGAAGGGGCUCGACCACGACGACAAUGCCCUGGCGAUAGGGUGGUGGUACAUCACACCGCCGCCCAAGGACCAGCGCUGGAAGUGGAGGUGGUGGACCGGCAUGAUUAGGCCAUAG
rnacentral:rRNA from 1 species